CCAGGGAAGGAGGCAGACUUCUCUACCAGAGAGCUGAGCCCCCUUCGAGGUCCAGGAAUGGCCGUGGAGCAGACUGGCGCUACUGACCCAGGAGAUGGAAGGGAGAUACUGAAGGAAGCACUGCCCAACUGCGAGCCAGAGCCUGGCACCGAUGACACAACACCAGUAGUACAGGUCAGCUGCAGGGAUCCAAGCCAGGACCUCCGGAACGAAAAGAAUGAACUUCCAUCGCUUCAGCUAAAGGAUCGGCUUCAUCAGCGGGGAAACAACAGGAAAUUCAUAAACCAGCCAUGAGAGGAAGACACAGAGCCAUGCUCUGCCAGCAGGGAUUACACUCAGGGCAUGUCUACACUUACCGGGGAUCAAAGCUGCAGCCAUUGAUGCACCGGGCGUCGACCCACUAAACUGAGCGCAGAUCACUCUCCUGUCGACUCUGGUACUCUACCACAAUGAGAAGUGUAAGGGUAGCGUAAUUUGCUUAAGAC